rnacentral:rRNA from 1 species
UACGAAGGGUGCAAACGUUGCUCGGAAUUAUUGGGCGUAAAGCGCACGUAGGCGGCUAUCUAAGUCGGAUGUGAAAUCCCUCGGCUUAACCAAGGAAGUGCACCCGAAACUGGAUAGCUUGAGUACAGAAGAGGAUCGCGGAAUUCCCGGUGUAGAGGUGAAAUUCGUAGAUAUCGGGAGGAACACCAGUGGCGAAGGCGGCUUACUGGUCCGGUUCUGACGCUGAGGAGCGAAAGCGGUGGGGAGCGAACAGG